rnacentral:rRNA from 1 species
CCUACGGGUGGCAGCAGUGGGGAAUAUUGCACAAUGGGGGAAACCCUGAUGCAGCGACGCCGCGUGCGUGAAGAAGUAAUUCGUUAUGUAAAGCUCUAUCAGCAGGGGAGAAAAUGACGGUACCUGAGUAAGAAGCCCCGGCUAACUACGUGCCAGCAGCCGCGGUAAUACGUAGGCGGCAAGCGUUAUCCGGAUUUACUGGGUGUAAAGGGGGCGUAGGCGGCAGUGCAAGUCUGGAGUGAAAGGCGGGGGCUCAACCUCCGGACUGCUUCGGAUACUGUACGGCUGGAGAGCAGGAGAGGUAAGUGGAAUGCAUAGUGUAGCGGUGAAAUGCGUAGAUAUCAGGAGGAACACCAGUGGCGAAGGCGGCUUACUGGACUGUAACUGACGUUGAGGCUCGAAAGCGUGGGGAGCAAACAGGAUUAGAUACCCGGGUAGUC